rnacentral:misc_RNA from 1 species
AGUUUAAUAUCUUGCUAAGAAAGAUGUAAGACUUUGGUAAAAAAUGCUCUUCCUGAAACCUAAGUAAAAAAUAUUGAAGAGGAAUGAACACAUACAAAUAUUAAAGAAAAAAGACAUUAGAAAAACAUGCCUUCUCUCUCCUCCCAUUGCCAAAAAACACCACCAAACUAAGCAUGGUUGGUCCCAAACUAAAGCCCUUGCCAUCAGGAGUCCAGUGAUACCAAAAAUAUAUUAAUUCGAUACUAGGAGCCAUCAGAAUCUCAGAAGGAAGUUUGUGGUGUCUUACUCUACCCCAUCGUUUUCUCGUUGGAUUUUUUUCAUUCAUGUCGCCUUUUGUGUCCAUCGACUUCAUCUAUAGGGAGGGGAUGGAAGCCCGCUUGUGUGGGAAUUGAUUGCUAGUAGGAGCAUGAAGAACAGAAGGAGAAGAAAUG